AUGAAUGUAGGCAUGCAUGCAUAUCUGCAUGUCUGAAUGUAUACAUAUAUGUAUGUAUAAAAUACCCAUCAAAUUAAAUUAAACAAAGCAGAAGUUUCCUACAAAUGUUUUCGCGAAUGUUCCACACAUGCACCUUUAUCACAAAAGGUAGCAACAGUGAAAAUAUCAGUUUCCCUCUUCUUACGGCCAUGGCUGUGAUCACCAAUGAAUCGCCUACGAACUGGUGUUGCAGGAGCACUGGGGGGUCCCUGGACAUGCAGGUCCUUAUGCGGGCAAUUGCUUUUUAUAUUGUAAAAUCGAUAAGCGAUCACAUUAUAAGUAUGUGCAUGCGAGACGUGCGAGAGCGAGGCAAGAAACUCAGCAGGAAGCACCAAAGAGCCGUCGAGCACCAGAUACAGAUACGACAACGACAACGUCGAGGACGAAAACGAGGACCCACAGCAAUGGAAUAACAGUAGCUGUAACUGGUUACAGUAAUGUUUUCUCAGCUCAAACAUGCCCUCUACGACGCAGCGCAGCAUAUCGUGCAUUAAAAAUCGUAGCCAUAUGUAAAGCCAAAGAUAACAAACGGAGCAGGAGGGUCGCUUGGGGAGCAGAAGUUGCCAACUGUCGCGAUUUCCACUGUUGCCAGCCUUUAACUCGUUUCCGAAACAGAACACAGCAGCCGUCCAAUGCGGCGUAUGAGUAAUGGCUGCCGCAGCAAAGAGCCAAGCCAAGCCAAAGGAGAGAGCACAGCUCGACACAUUUUGACCGCAGCAGAGGCAGCCUUCUCGUAAUGUAAAUUUCAAUUGGUAAGAAGCAGCAGGGUAUACAAAAAUCAGUCAAGGCGAAGCAUUUACAACGCGCAGCACUCGCACAUGCAGUGCAAAGCUCAGUUUAGCAGCUAAAUUAAUAUGCUUAAUGCAAUUUGCACACAAAAAGGUGGCUCAAAGUGAGCCAAAGUGAGGUCCGGAACAGCUUUGCGGCGCUUUUAACUUGGCUUGGGCCUUUGUCUCAGUAUUUGACUUUGCCUUUGCCUUUGCCUUUGCGGCUAACGAUCUCAGCCAAGAGUACGCGGAUUAUGCACUUUUCGCUCUAGAGAAGGGCUUAAAUGGACUAAGGCAUGUUCGCAGUUGGCAAUGAAUAGUCAAGCGGAAAGGAGUUUAAUAGAAAUGAGAAUGUGCUUCUAAAAAUGUGAAAGUUUAUAUAUGAAAAAUGAAUAAGAACUGAAAAGUUUUGAUCUGGGCAACUGACCAGCCCCCGACUUAUGUGUGGAUAUUCUGAUGUCUAAGCUGAAGGCCAUGGAAAUUAAUAAAAAUUAUAUAUAAUGCAGGUGAGUUUGUUGCCAAAAUACUCUAUAUAUAUACCAUUCAAUAUAA